UACGUAGGGUGCAGGCGUUAAUCGGAAUUACUGGGCGUAAAGCGUGCGCAGGCGGCUUCCUAAGUCAGAUGUGAAAUCCCCGGGCUUAACCUGGGAACUGCGUUUGAAACUGGAUGGCUUGAGAUUGGGAGAGGGAUGCGGAAUUCCAGGUGUAGCGGUGAAAUGCGUAGAUAUCUGGAGGAACACCGGUGGCGAAGGCGGCAUCCUGGACCAACACUGACGCUGAGGAGCGAAAGCCAGGGGAGCAAACGGG
rnacentral:rRNA from 1 species